rnacentral:lncRNA from 1 species
GUAAUGGUUGGAAAGGUCUUGACAUAAGGAACAAAUGUUAUGUUGGACCAAAACUCAUUUGGAGUGUGGAAAUUUAUGAAAACAGACCAUGAAGUUCAUAGUGAUGUGGGUAAUGGUUGGAAAGGUCUUGACAUAAGGAACAAAUGUUAUGUUGGACCAAAACUCAUUUGGAGUGUGGAAAUUUAUGAAAACAGACCAUGAAGUUCAUAGUGCAAAACAUGCCUUUGAG